rnacentral:rRNA from 1 species
CCUACGGGAUGCAGCAGUGAGGAAUAUUGGUCAAUGGACGCAAGUCUGAACCAGCCAUGCCGCGUGCAGGCAGACGGCUCUAUGAGUUGUCAACUGCUUUUGUACGAGGGUAAACGCAGAUACGCGUAUCUGUCUGAAAGUAUCUUACGAAUAAGGAUCGGCUAACUCCGUGCCAGCAGCCGCGGUAAUACGGAGGAUUCAAGCGUUAUCCGGAUUUAUUGGGUUUAAAGGGUGCGUAGGCGGUCGGAUAAGUUAGAGGUGAAAUCCCGAGGCUCAACUUCGAAAUUGCCACUGAUACUGUCAGGCUAGAGAAUAGUUGCGGUAGGCGGAAUGUAUGGUGUAGCGGUGAAAUGCUUAGAGAUCAUACAGAACACCGAUUGCGAAGGCAGCUUACCAAGCUACUUCUGACGUGGAGGCACGAAAGCGUGGGGAGCAAACAGGAUUAGAUACCCUGGUAGUC